rnacentral:misc_RNA from 1 species
UUAAGUUCAGCGGGUAUCCCUACCUGAUCCGAGGUCAACCUGAAAAAAUUGGGGGUUAUUGGCAAGUAACCACCUGGAUCUCCAAAGCGGGAAGAAUUACUACGCUUGAAGCCAAAUGGCACCGCCACUGAUUUAAGACUGCCAGAAACUGGCAGUGUCCAAUACCAAGCAAAGCUUGAGGGUUGUAAUGACGCUCGAAC